rnacentral:rRNA from 1 species
UGGUCCUACGGGACGCAGCAGUGAGGAAUAUUGGUCAAUGGGCGCGAGCCUGAACCAGCCAAGUAGCGUGAAGGAUGACUGCCCUACGGGUUGUAAACUUCUUUUGCCGGGGAGCAAGGGCGGGGACGUGUCCCGGCCCGGAGAGUACCCGGAGAAAAAGCAUCGGCUAACUCCGUGCCAGCAGCCGCGGUAAUACGGAGGAUGCGAGCGUUAUCCGGAUUUAUUGGGUUUAAAGGGUGCGUAGGCGGGCUGUUAAGUCAGCGGUCAAAUGUCUGGGCUCAACCCCGGCCUGCCGUUGAAACUGG